rnacentral:rRNA from 1 species
GCCCCAGUUCGGAUUGCAGGCUGCAACCCGCCUGCAUGAAGUUGGAAUCGCUAGUAAUCGCGGAUCAGCAUGCCGCGGUGAAUACGUUCCCGGGCCUUGUACACACCGCCCGUCACACCAUGAGAGUCGGGAACACCCGAAGUCCGUAGUCUGACCGCAAGGGGACGCGGCCGAAGGUGGGUUCGAUAAUUGGGGUGAAGUCGUAACAAGGUAAC